rnacentral:lncRNA from 1 species
CAUGAUGCUAGAUCAGACAGUCCCUUGAACCUACUGUCUUGCCUCUUCGGAGUUACAGAAUGACUCUAGGAUCUGGACAGGCAUGCUGCAGUACUUUCCCAGUUCAGAACAAAUGAGCAGAAGAACGUUCAGUGCUAGCAGUAGUAGCAGGUUCACUUGGUAGCAUUUACAUCCAAAGUCAUGGGUUUGCUGGCAUGGGUAAUCUCAUUAAGGUGCUAACCAGGGACAUAGACCACAAUGCAGCACAUUUUUUCUUGGAUUUUGAAAGUAAGUCUCUCAGCCCUUCACAGCUGGUGCAUUUGAAAUGGUAUGAAGAGGGUUGCUUAUACCUGCUGCAAUGAAGGCUAGG